UUAGGAGAAAGUUAAAAGAUGGGAUGGAUCCUACAAAAGAGAGGUAUACACAAAAUCUGGCAAGAUAAGAAACAAGUUAUGGUUAUCUAGGAAAUUUUAUGCAUGUCAAUUUCCGUUGAAGCAUUCAUCAAGCAAUCGAAACAAAAAAUCAAUUAUUAAUUUUCUUUUUCACGAAAUUGUUGAUAUCAUGCAACAACGUCCACGCUUUUAAGAUAUUAUUUCGCAGCCUGCUGGUGGAGGAGAUAUGCAACUACGUCCAUGCUCUUUUAUUUAUUCGAAGUGGGGCUUUUCUAUGUCGCCUCUACGUUAAUUAGCUGAGUAGUUCGCCUUACAAUGGAUUUUCAUAUGGACAUUUAAAGAAAAUAACAUGUAUCAAGUUUGAUCAUUUUGUAAGAUUGGAAGAUUUGAGAUUGUAAAAAAUAAGAUAUUCAAUAAAGCCAUGUGCAUUCAAUAAAGAUUUACAGGUACUUUAUCUA